CUGCUCACGUUUAGGCUCAUUAUCACUAAAUCUCGAUCACAUCAUAUGAAAAUCCCCGUGGAGAUCGAAGAGAUUGCAUGCUGUAAAGUGCAAAUACUAAAUGAUAGUGCUAUCUCUUUCUCAAAGCGCUCAACUUCGCCAUUAAUGUAUUAUGCACCAGAAUCGAGCAAAAUUUUUCCACUAAAAGUGCGUAGAAUUUUCUCCCAAUCUGUCUGCUUUCUUUCUCAAUCUCUUCCCCAUAAGUAUUAUCUUGCAUGUCGAUUAUUUAGGGUUGACGCUGUAGUUCUCUCACGUGUUGGGCUGAUUGGUUCAAGUAAUGCGCCUUAUUCGUAUUGCCUUCUUUAUACAGUGGAGAUGAAAGCCAAUUAGCUAACUAUUCGUGUAACUGCGAAGCUGUGGCCAUAGACUAGCGAGUGAAGCAUUUAUGAAGAAACUUUAUGAAGAACCUUGUAUUUCUCAGCUGAUUAUUCUGUCAUAAGUGAUGUCGUUGCAGACAAUGGUCUUAAUUUACUGUCAGAAUUGGCAUAGCGUGGGACAUGGCAGUUAAUUUCAGUAAACAUGGAAAUAUUUUUGCUCAACGCCCUCUGAAUAUGGAACUGUUGUAAUUGGCUAUCUGAUAAAUUUUUGUUUUGUUUCUUCUUCCGUUUAUACUGCAAUUCAUUUCUGACAACAGUUCUGCAAUGAGAAUUGAGAUUUUUCUUAGUUUGCAAAUUAUUUCUUUUUAUUGCUUAUUGCAGAGUUAGGAGCCAAGCAAGAGAGAAUAAACCAACUUACAUUUGUAUAUGGUGAAGAGAAUGCAUUCUUAAUGUAUUUAAACAGGCAAAGACAUUCAAAGAACAGGGGUGUGUAGAUAAUUUUGUGUUUGCAAAAAGAUGUUGCUCUAUGUUUCAUGGACUCUUAUACUCAUGUCUGACACGGUUAUGUGUCCAAGUGCCUGACUCGGCUAGUCAAUGAAAAAUUUCAAUGAUUUUGGCCCAAAAUGAAGUGUCCAAAGUGUCAAUGUCAUUGUCCAUGUCCGAGUGUCAAGGAUUUGACACAAGACGGGUACUUGAGGUGAAUUAAGAAUCCAUGUAACUAAGGCUGGAGUUAUGUUUUGAUAUGCAGGAAACAUAAUCUUCUUAGUAAAACUACUGUCAACUUUUUUGGCCAAAGAUCUAACACAUCUAAUUGGUGAAGAGUGAUUAUACACUGUAAAACUCAUUGGAAAUUGUACAAAUAAUUAUUGAA